rnacentral:rRNA from 1 species
GGAUCAUUAUCGAACGAUUCAAAAAGACUGUUGCUGGCUCUCGAGCAUUGUGCACGUCUUUCUUUGAUCACACACGUCCACCAUCGUGCACCAAUUCGUAGACCCUUGAGAAACGAACGCAAGCUGAAGUCUAGUUAAUAGUCUUAUCAAAGGCGAACACAGGCUCGAGAGAGUCUAGUUAUUAGUCGAAAGGGCGAACGCAGACGGAAAGUCUAGUUAUUAGUGGAAAAGGUGAACUACGUCGUCUACACCUUUGUCGUAUGUCCAGAAAGUCGAAACCAUAUUAUACAACUUUCAGCAAUGGAUCUCUUGGUUCUCGCAUCGAUGAAGAACGCAGCGAAUCGCGAUAAGUAAUGUGAAUUGCAGAUUUCCAGUGAAUCAUCGAAUCUUUGAACGCACCUUGCGCCCUUUGGUAUUCCGAAGGGCAUGCCUGUUUGAGUGUCAUGAAAUACAUCAACCCUUGGCUUGCGCCAUGGGCUUGGACUUGGAGGUUGCAGGCCGCGCAAGCAGUCAGCUCUUCUUAAACGCAUUAGCGAGUCGUACCCCCUAUGAUAGUCGGCGUGAUAACGAUCGUCGUGGUCAUCAAACGGGGCUCGAGCGAUUCUCGCUUCUAACCUUAAGAGUAGGCGAACGAGUCUAGUUAUUAGUCGAAAGGCGAACACAGACUUCGUUAGUCCGAAAUUUAUUACCACUCUUGACCUCAAAUCAGG